ACGGUUCAGCGAACCGAAAUGACUCAUAGUGCUGCCGAUAGCUACGUUCAAAGGCGCGCUUCUGUCUUGGGAAUAUUUAAGAGCUUGCAUGCAACAACGGGUCGUUUGUCUCGAACGCUCUAAAUGACGUACACUUGCGGAUACAUCUGAUUCCCGCUUUGCAGUGUGAUGCCGUCGCUACUUAUUUCGGCAGCCAUUACUUUUCUAACUGCCCUCGCUAUGGCUGACCCCAUUGACAAAUCGGCAAAGAGCCUGAAAGAAAUGGAAAGCCUUUGUUCACCGGUUCUAUUGACAAGCUCUGUACCGUGAAAAUCCUGGUUGAUGUUCGAGCUUGCAAGAAAACGCGUGUAUUUGCGACCGUGGCUCAAGGUCCUAAAUUACGAACGCCUCCAGCAGCAAAAAGAAAGGCAUGAUGACUCUGAAUUAUUUACGUAGGUCUUAAGUUCUGCAUUCCUGCUGUAUACCG
rnacentral:lncRNA from 1 species